rnacentral:rRNA from 1 species
AACGAACGCUGGCGGCAUGCCUAACACAUGCAAGUCGAACGAGACCUUCGGGUCUAGUUGCUCACGGGUGCGUAACGCGUGGGACCCUGCCCUUAGGUUCGGAAUACCUCCCCGACAGGGGUGCUAAUACCGGAUAAUGUCUUCUGACCAAGGAUUUAUCGCCUUUGGAUGGGCCGGCGUUGGACUAGCUAGGUGGUAGGGUAAAAGCCUACCAAGGCGACGAUCCAUAGCUGGUCAGAGAGGAGGCGCAGCCACACUGGGACUGAGACACGGCCCAGACUCCUACGGGAGGGAGCAGUGGGGAAUACUGGACAAUGGGCGAAAGUCUGAUAGAGCAAUGCCGUGUGAGUGAUGAAGGCCUGAGGGUAGUAAAGCUCGGUUAACCGGGAGGAUAAUGACAGGACCGGGAGAAUAAGCGCCGGCUAACUCCGUG